AGGAAAUUAGGAUAAUACCAUGCAGUUCAAAUACUGAUAAUCUUGCUUAAUCUGAUUCUGAUUGAUUACAUAAUUCUGUUAAAUCCUGUAAUUAUGGUUCUGUUUCUUCUAGAUGCAAUAUCAAUUUCUGCAGAUGCAUGGUGUCAAUGUAAUUAUGGUUGUUGACUUCCAUUUUUCUCCGUUCCCAAACAUAUAUAUGUUGUUGGCUGUUCCUUUGUUUCUACACAAUCAGAUUGCAUUGCAAUAAGUUUUCUGAUGUUAAUUAACUAUAAGCUUGUGGUAACCUGACUUUUCAUUCUGCUGUCUGUUCCUUUGUUUUUACACAAUCAGAAAAGUUGGUUGCAAUCACGUGGAAAGGGCAUCACAAAAAAGCCCAAACAUUUCUGGCAAAGGUUUACAUGUAUGGAAGAUCUCCUUGUAGCAGUUGUUAAUGUCUAGAAUGUACUGUAUAUGAUCCUUUUCUAGUGCUCAAAUGUGAUACCCAUCAUGUCCUAUGUAAGCUAUGUAAACAUGAAUGUGCUAUGUAAACAUGAAUGUGAAGUUGUAUUUGUCAAAGUUGAAUCUGGAUGUGA